rnacentral:rRNA from 1 species
CCUACGGGUGGCUGCAGUGGGGAAUAUUGGGCAAUGGGCGCAAGCCUGACCCAGCAACGCCGCGUGAAGGAAGAAGGCUUUCGGGUUGUCAACUUCUUUUGUCAGGGAAGAGUAGAAGACGGUACCUGACGAAUAAGCCACGGCUAACUACGUGCCAGCAGCCGCGGUAAUACGUAGGUGGCAAGCGUUGUCCGGAUUUCCUGGGUGUAAAGGGCGUGUAGCCGGGUUGACAAGUCAGAUGUGAAAUCCUGAGGCUUAACCGCAGAACUGCAUUUGAAACUGUUGAUCUUGAGUACUGGAGAGGCAGACGGAAUGCCUAGUGUAGCGGUGAAAUGCGUAGAUAUUAGGAGGAACACCAGUGGCGAAGGCGGUCUGCUGGACAGCAACUGACGGUGAGGCGCGAAAGCGUGGGGAGCAAACAGGAUUAGAUACCCCAGUAGUC